GACAGAAAGAACAUAAAAAUGGAAGGAACUGCCUGCUCCAGCUAACAAAGCAGGAAUUAAAUCCAUGCUGGGUUAUUCCCCCACCCUACAUGCAGCCUGAGGACGCUGAUUUGGCCAGUGCCAGCUGCUCUGCAUUGAACAUCUCAUCAUUGCAGGAUGGACAGAAGUGUGAAGGACCUGGAGAUUAGGAGGUGAUCUCAGGAUAAUGAACAAUGAAUGCAUGUGCAUGCUGGCUAGAUGGACUUGAUCCAGAUGUUGUGAACAUUGUCAAGGAGGUGUAAAAAUGGUGGAAACACACUUCUGAAGGUGGCUCAUCAGGAUUUCUGCCUUUGUUGGGACAAAAUCCUGCAGAUUCCUGAGCAGGGAUCCUGCAGAUCUCACCUAAAAGAGUGAAAUCUCCAAGCAUAUUUUGUCAUAUUUAAAGAAGAACUCUCAGCCCCUGAGUGCAGCUCUCCCUGGUUUUAAGCCAGUGUAAAGGAAACAUCCCAGUGCCUCUGCAUGAGCUACACU